rnacentral:rRNA from 1 species
AUGAGGACUAUGUGCUGGAACUGUCGAGGAAUUGGCGACCCUGCGACAGUUCGUGAGCUCCGCGAUCUCAUGGAGGCGUGUGCGCCGAUGGUGCUUUGCAUAGUGGAGACACAAAUUGCGAAGUACAGGGUGAAAGGUCUGGCGGGUAGUUUAGGUUUUAGUAGCUUUGGAGUAGCGAGUAGUGGUCGAAGUGGAGGUCUAUGCUUGUACUGA